UGGUUUAGUUUGUCGGUAUUUAUGGGUGGAGCAGCAGCAACAUGUUCCACAGACAGUUUUAUUGUCCGUUGUCUUGUUUUAAUCAGUUUUCAGUUCCGCUGAUUGAACCAGCAGACACUGAAGGACUCCGACAGCUGCUGGCGUUGAUGCAAAGAGAAGAAGAAGAUUUGGAGGAAGAAGCUCUGCAGCCUGACGGCCGAGUUCCACAAACUGAUCACUUCAGCGCUGCAGCUGAUCUCCAAGCAGCUGACAAACCCAACAACAGAAGCAAAGUGUCAAAUAGACGUUACAGUCAUACAGUGUCUAACAGACCAGCAUUGCAGUGACGGACUCACAGACUCUCCUCGACAUCUGACCUCCACCGCAGGGCCUCUGCGCGGCCCGCCGGCCUCGGCUUGACCAUCAGCGCACAGCAGGAGGCUGUAAACAGAAUAACCCAGAAUACUUCCUUCUUCUCUGCAUGGAAACGGUCCAGUCUGCUCAGUGAGGCUGAAUUCAGCAGAAUUCAUGGAGGUGAUGGACCUUAAUGUGACUCACGGAUGUGAAGCAACUGAAGCACAGAUUUUAAUAAGUUAACGCACAUUUUUAUCUCCUGUCUGGAUGAAAAACAAAUGUGAAGUAAACUGUCACGAUUUCCUCACUUGAAA